rnacentral:rRNA from 1 species
GACGUAGGGGGCGAGCGUUGUCCGGAAUUACUGGGCGUAAAGAGCACGUAGGCGGGAACCUAAGUCAGGUGUGAAAGACCGUGGCUCAACCACGGGGUGGCAUUUGAAACUGGGUUUCUUGAGGGCAGGAGAGGAAAGCAGAAUUCAUGGUGUAGCGGUGAAAUGCGUAGAAAUCAGGAGGAAUACAAGUGGCGAAGGCGGCUUUCUGGACUGACCCUGACGCUGAGGUGCGAAAGCGUGGGUAGCAAACAGGAUUAGAUACCCUGGUAGUCCCUGA